AUUGAACGCUGGCGGCAGGCCUAACACAUGCAAGUCGAGCGGAGCGGCGGUCGGGUGAGUAAUGCUUGGGAAUCUGACUGGUAGUGGGGGAUAACGUCCGGAAACGGGCGCUAAUACUGAUACCUAUCAGAUGAGCCUAGGCCGGAUUGGCUUGUUGGGGGGGUAAAGGCAUACCAGGGCGACGAUCCAUAACUGGGCUGAGAGGAUGAUCAGUCACACUGGAACUGAGAGACGGUCCAGACUCCUACGGGAGGCAGCAGUGGGGAAUAUUGUACAAUGGGCGAAAGCCUGAUCCAGCCAUGCCGCGUGUGUGAAGAAGGUCUUCGGAUUGUAAAGCACUUUAAGUUGGGAGGCGUUACCAACAGAAUAAGCACCGGCUAACUUCGUGCCAGCAGCCGCGGUAAUUC
rnacentral:rRNA from 1 species